rnacentral:tRNA from 2 species
GCCGGGGUAGUCUAGUGGUAAGGCGCAAGCCUGGAAAGCUUGUGAGGUGCAAAUCUCUCAGGAGUUCAAGUCUCCUCCCCGGCG